rnacentral:piRNA from 1 species
UGCCUUGGUACACCUUCUAGAAACACAUUA